UUAGCGGCGAACGGGUGAGUAACACGUGAGGAACCUGCCCUCGAGUCUGGGAUAACCCCGGGAAACCGGAGCUAAUACCGGAUGCCCUCUUUGGAUCGCAUGGUCCGCUGAGGAAAGUUUUUCGCUCGAGGAGGGUCUCGCGGCCUAUCAGCUUGUUGGUGGGGUAACGGCCUACCAAGGCGUCGACGGGUAGCUGGUCUGAGAGGACGACCAGCCACACUGGGACUGAGACACGGCCCAG
rnacentral:rRNA from 1 species